GACGGGUGAGUACACGUGGGAAUGUGCCCUUCUGUUGAGGAUAGCCCCGGGAAACUGGGAGUAAUACUCGAUACGCCCUUAGGGGGAAGGAAGGAUCAGCCCGCGUCUGAUUAGGUAGUUGGUGGGGUAAUGGCCUACCAAGCCUACGAUCAGUAGCUGGUUUUAGAGGAUGAUCAGCCACACUGGGACUGAGACACGGCCCAGACUCCUACGGGAGGCAGCAGUGAGGAAUCUUAGACAAUGGGCGCAAGCCUGAUCUAGCCAUGCCGCGUGAGUGAUGAAGGCCUUAGGGUCGUAAAGCUCUUUCGCCAGGGAUGAUAAUGACAGUACCUGGUAAAGAAACCCCGGCUAACUCCGUGCCAGCAGCCGCGGUAAUACGGAGGGGGUUAGCGUUGUUCGGAAUUACUGGGCGUAAAGCGCGCGUAGGCGGACUGGAAAGUUGGGGGUGAAAUCCCAGGGCUCAACCCUGGAACUGCCUCCAAAACUAUCAGUCUAGAGUUCGAGAGAGGUGAGUGGGAUUCCGAGUGUAGAGGUGAAAUUCGUAGAUAUUCGGAGGAACACCAGUGGCGAAGGCGGCUCACUGGCUCGAUACUGACGCUGAGGUGCGAAAGUGUGGGGAGCAAACAGGAUUAGAUACCCUGGUAGUCCACACCGUAAACGAUGAAUGCCAGUCGUCGGGU
rnacentral:rRNA from 1 species